UCCCUAAUCGCGAGUAAACUCCAGAGC
rnacentral:sRNA from 1 species